rnacentral:rRNA from 1 species
AUUGAACGCUGGCGGUAUGCUUAACACAUGCAAGUAGAACGGUAACAGGUCUUCGGAUGCUGACGAGUGGCGGACGGGUGAGUAACGCGUAGGAAUCUGCCUAUUAGUGGGGGACAACAUGUGGAAACGCAUGCUAAUACCGCAUACGCCCUGAGGGGGAAAGGAGGGGACUCUUCGGAGCCUUUCGCUAAUAGAUGAGCCUGCGUUAGAUUAGCUAGAUGGUGGGGUAAAGGCCUACCAUGGCGUAGAUCUAUAGCUGUUCUGAGAGGAAGAUGAGCCACACGGGGACUGAGACACGGCACAGACUCCUACGGGGGGCAGCAGUGGGGAAUAUUGGACAAUGGGCGCAAGCCUGAUCCAGCAAUACCGCGUGUGUGAAGAAGGCCCUAGGGUUGUAAAGCACUUUCAAUUGGGAGGAAAAAACAAGGGCUAAUACCUCUUGUCUUGACAUUACCUUUAGAAGAAGCACCGGCUAACUCCGUGCCAGCCGCCGCCGUAAAAC